CAUUGGGGAUUCCCUUUGAGGUUAAAGGUUUGUGCCUUUUCUACCAAGCGUGUGGUCUUUUUAAGGCUCACACAUUUUACUUUGAAUAAAUUAGGGUGUUUAAAGCAGAUUAAUCGUCUGAAUAUAUUAGCAUGGGAUAAAUGAAUAUGAUCUUGAUCUUAUUUUGUGGUUUCUAAGUUUGAGAUAAUGAUUAAAAGGGACAGUUGGGGUCGCUUGUACUCAGUGGCGAGAGGUGAAAUUCUAUGACCCAUUGAAGACAGACAAAUGCGAAGGCAUUCGACAAGGAUGUUUUCAUUAAUCAAGAACGAAAGUUGUGGGAUCGAAGAUGAUCAGAUACCGUUGUAGUCAUAACUGUAAACUAUGUCGACUCAGGGUUUAGGGACGUAUAUAUUAUGACAUUCUAAGAACUGUUAUGCGAAAGCAAAGUAUCCGGACUCCAGGGGGAGUAUGGUCGCAAGGCUGAAACUUAAAGGAAUUGACGGAAGGGCACCACCAGGAGUGGAACCUGCGGCUUAAUUUGACUCAACACGGGAAAACUUACUCAGUCAGGACACGAUGAGGAUUGACAGAUUGAUAGUUCUUUCUUGAUUUUGUGGUAGCCGGUGCAUGGGCCGUUUUUAGUUGGUGGAGUGAUUUGUCUGGUUAAGUCCGAUAACGAACGAGAUCUUAAUCUAUUAACUAGUGACGGUAACAAGGGAUUUCCUGGGUUUGUGGUGGGAAACCACUGCUUU
rnacentral:rRNA from 1 species